rnacentral:rRNA from 1 species
CCUACGGGAGGCUGCAGUGGGGAAUAUUGGACAAUGGGGGGAACCCUGAUCCAGCCAUGCCGCGUGUGUGAAGAAGGCCCUCGGGUUGUAAAGCACUUUCAGUGAGGAAGAACGCCUGGUGGUUAAUACCCAUCAGGAAAGACAUCACUCACAGAAGAAGCACCGGCGAACUCCGGGCCAGCAGCCGCGGUAAUACGGAGGGUGCGAGCGUUAAUCGGAAUUACUGGGCGUAAAGCGCGCGUAGGUGGCUUGAUAAGCCGGUUGUGAAAGCCCCGGGCUCAACCUGGGAACGGCAUCCGGAACUGUCAAGCUAGAGUGCAGGAGAGGAAGGUAGAAUUCCCGGUGUAGCGGUGAAAUGCGUAGAGAUCGGGAGGAAUACCAGUGGCGAAGGCGGCCUUCUGGACUGACACUGACACUGAGGUGCGAAAGCGUGGGUAGCAAACAGGAUUAGAUACCCUGGUAGUC